AACGAACGCUGGCGGCAGGCUUAACGCAUGCAAGUCGAACGAGAUCUUCGGAUCUAGUGGCAGACGGGUGAGGAACACGUGGGAACAUCCCUUUCAGUUCGGAAUAACGUUGGGAAACUAACGCUAAUACCGGAUACGUCCUUCGGGAGAAAGAUUUAUCGCUGAAAGAUUGGCCCGCGUCUGAUUAGCUAGUUGGUGAGGUAACGGCUCACCAAGGCUACGAUCAGUAGCUGAUCUGAGAGGAUGAUCAGCCACAUUGGGACUGAGACACGGCCCAAACUCCUACGGGAGGCAGCAGUGGGGAAUAUUGGACAAUGGGCGCAAGCCUGAUCCAGCCAUGCCGCGUGAGUGAUGAAGGCCUUCGGGUUGUAAAGCUCUUUUGUCCGGGAAGAUAAUGACUGUACCGGAAGAAUAAGCCCCGGCAAACUUCGUGCCAGCCGCCGCGGUAAUAC
rnacentral:rRNA from 1 species